GCUAUUACACCUCUAUUACACUCAACCAAACACAGGAUUACUAUUACGCCUCUAUUCCAUUACAUUCAACCAAACAGUUGAUUUGCUAUUACACAGCUUUUCCAUUACACCUCUAUUCCAUUACACCUCUAAUCCAAUACAGCGAACCAAACGUGCUGUUACAUUAUGUUUGAUUUGGUGUAAUGGAUUAGCCAUUACACCGCUAUUCCGUGGGUCCCACUAAUCCCCACUUAAUCCCGUGUUUGGUUUGAUGUAUUGCCUAUUACAGGCCUAUUACAACACGGAUGUAUUUCUCAUUUUCUCUGCUUCAACAACGAUUAGCCAUUCCGUUCCAAAAGUAAGGAUUAGCUAAUCGUCUCUGUUUUACCUUCCCCAAGCAAAAUCUGCUGCUCCAUCCCACCCUCUCCCUCCCAACAUCAACAGCAGUUUUCUUCGAAUCAAAUCUCCACCGUCUCAGAUCGCCUGUGAGUAAUCUCAACAGCAGUUGCCAGUGAAAAUUGUCCUUUCUUCAAAAACCCAGCCCUAAACCCUUCUCUUCUUUCAAUACUCCAUUCAAACAGGUUGCGGCGUCUCCCUCUUCUGAGGUAUGGCUCUGUUUCUUUAACUUUAGCAUUGAGCGACUCUUUUCAAGUCCAAAAUUAGUCUACUCAGCUUUGAAUUUAGGCCUAUUUUUGCACAGUUACGGUCUAUUGGGGGGUUCUUUGUUUUUUGUUUUUUGUUGGUUUGGUUAAAUCAUGUUAUGGUAUUUGGAUUUAAACAAAAAAAAAAAGAGAAAGACGAAGGUAUUUGUUAAGCCAAUUGUGAAAAAGCAGUAGCAACAGCAACCAAAUGCAGACCAAACAUUUUUUCUUUGCUAAAGGUUCUUGCUUUUCAAACCAUUUUUUCGCCAUUUUUCUUGUAAUUGUUUUUCUUGUUACAGUUCAGAUUUUAGAUUUUUUGGUUGUUGAGUCUUGAAGGCAGUUGUAUUCAGUAAUGGCUGGCUUGCUUUGAUGCAUUGCUUCUGUAUAUCUUUGUAGAAAACGAAUCUGUAUCUAUUUUUAACACAAAUUUGAUUAGUUCAUGCCAAUGGAUUUUUAACAUUAAAUUAGUUAUUGGCGUUAGAAAUUUAGUCUAAGAUGUUAUAUCGAAUCAGUAGCCAUGUAUCGAACAAAAGCUAGAGGUUAGUCAAUUAAAGGUAGCACCUUUAUCUUGUGAGAUAUCCACAGCCCAACAUCUUGCAGAAGCUUGUUACCAGAAGCAUCUUGCUGGUCCACGGACUGCAAGCUUUCGAAAAGAAGUUCCUGUCCGGCUCCUUCAGCUAUUAAAUUGUUACCCUGUUCUAUUUAUGUUGGAGUAGCUAAAAUCUGAGGUUGCAUUUGUCAUUAACAAAUAGAAAUCCAAAAAGAGAGGAAAUUGAUAUCAUCCCCUCCACUUUUUGCUUGGAAUUGCGUGCUUCAAAUGUUCACUAAUAUGGUUAAAAAUUCAUGUUUUAAAAAUUCUGCCUUCUUGUGAAAGUUUGUAGCAGUUUGUUGAAUCAUGCUUCUUAUUGAUUUAACUUUGUAAAUUCCGUGAACAAGUCUAAACCUUUACUGCUGAUUUCAAUGACAUAGCUGCAGCUGUAAUUCACUGCUGAUUCUUGUGAUCCAGGCAUGUGUGCUCUGUUAGAGGCUUGACUUGCAGUCUGGAAGGAUUAAUUCACUGCUGAUUCUUAUGAUCCACUGCUUCAUUUUUUCUCUCGGUCUCAGCGUUUGGUUUGAGGUAUGAAUCUUGAACUUUUCAUAUCUUUGCCUGCCUUUGCCUUGGAUUGUGGCAUGUUCAUGUGUGUAGUCUUCAACCGGAUUCACCAACUGUAUUAUGUUUGAUAUGUGGUUUGAAACACUGAAAAAUUGUACUGCUGGACAGUGAGAUUUUGUUUGAAAUUUUGACUGUUAUACUUUGUUGUUUCAUCUUGUUUUUUGACAAGUAUAAUAAUUUUUCUGUUAUACUUUGUUGUUUUGGAAAAUCCAUAGCCGUUGUGAUGUGUUGUUAGAAAUAAAUUGUUUGGAAGCAUUGCAUCAUGUUAAGGGUACUCUAAUGAUACAACAACUGAAUUCGUAUGUCAUUCAUGCCAUUGGAGACUUGUUGCAUUGAUAUUGAGAUAUUGGUAUUACACAUAUGCAUUGAGAAUGUGAUAGGAUGGCUAAUUGCUUAACAAAGGCUACAAAAGGAGUCUAUCAUUAGCUUUUACUCUUGUCCUGACCUCUUGAUUUUGCUUUCAUGUAUCUAUUUGUUAUUGGUUAUGUUCUUUUGCAAAAGGGAAUCCACAAAUUUUUUUAAUAGGCCGAGAUUAAGUUAUAUAUUGUUAUGAGAGUUAAAAUGCAAGUUUACCAUUGUAUUGACAAACAUCUUUAUAGUUUUUAAAAAGACUAAAUCAUAAGUUUAUCAUUUCUAAAAGAGUCAAAUUAUAAUUUUAUCAUGUAUUUAUUUAAAAUUUUAUAAACAUAAAAGUGAUUAAAGCUGAAAUUUUCCAUUUUAUGGGAGAGUAAGGGACUUGUAUACGCCUUUGCCUUCGCCCUUAGUUCUUUUGUUACCUUCUACAAUACAAAUUUUUUUUCAGUUUGGGUAUUUGACGUACUUGAGUAGCUGCUUGAUAUGUUUGGAAGGUUAAAAAUAAUUGGCGGUGGGGCAUAAUAUGGACCAAGAUGUUGCUGUAGUCCAUGAGGUGGGUGGGAAAUUGAUAAUGUGGCCAAAUUUGUUUUGGCUAAUAAUUCUAGGAGUAAAUCUUAGGAUUGUUUGAGCUAUUUUCGCAGUUAAUUUAUAAUUUAAGAAAAGAUUUGUAGUUUUUUUGUUGUUUUUUAUCACAUCGGGUUAUCGUUGAAUAAGAAGACAUCUUAUAAUACACAUUAUACCUAAAGCUGAAAUUUUUAUCAUCGGCUACUCUUAUUUCAAUUUUUUUUGUUAUUUUACAUUCUUUUAGUCUGAUCAGUUGAUUGAACAUCAAAUGUCGACUUAAAUACGACAUGGAACAUAUUUACAAUGUAUGAAUUAAAUUAUAAAACGUAUGUACCUACUGUAUGAACAAUUUAGAUCUGAUAUGUCACAAAAAAGAUAAAUAGCCUCCUAAAAUUUAAUAAGCAUUGUCUUAAUUUUUUUAAUACAUUGGACCCAAGUUGUCCAUACAAUAGAUACAUAUGUAUUUACAAUUUAAUACAUAUAACUAAACUAACAAAAGUAUCCUGUUGAUAUUGAGAUUUUAAAGAUUUUAAAAUCUAAAUAAUAGAUUCCAACAUUUUGAUGGCAAAAUCUUGGCCUUCCCAGCUGAUACGGGGUUGCGCGCGGACCAAGAUCGAGUUGCAAAGUCACGAGGAACUCCUACGAAAACCCUAAACAAUUAGAUCUGAAACGAAACAGAAAAUUAAAAGAUUAGAUUUUUGAAUUUUCAGAUCUGAAAUAAAAUCCCCAAAUCAGCAAAGAAUCAAAUUGAGAAUAGAAAUAAGUGUUAGGGUUCUUGAAACCCUCAAGGAGAUUGUGAUUCUGCCCAAUUGAACACCAAGAUAGUUUUCCCCAAAUUUCGACAAUCUAAUUUCACCCAAAAAAGAGUAUGGAAAAACCCUAGAAAUUAGGGAUUUUUGGGCUGAUUCCUUAAGAUAGAAAAAGGCUGAAAACACAAUAAGAACAGAAAAUAGAUUAGAUAAUGAUUCAGCACAAGUAGAAAUAAAGAAAGAAUUGACAGUAAGAAAUUAAAAGAUAAGUCCUAAGAAGCCUUGAAAUCUCGAAAGAUCUCACAACUCCCUUCAAACGGCUCUAAUCUCCCCUCCAAAGAAUAUCAAUGGCAAGAAGAAGGUUGAAGAUGGCUCCCACAAUCACAAGAUUGUUAAAACAACUUCUAAAGAAAACUCAAGAGAAAAAUCUUGGAGAAAACUCAAAGAAAAUUCUGCUCUCAAAAAAUCUGAAAUUUUAAUAAUAAUGAUAAGUGUUUUACAAGGUGGACAGCCAUGCCUUUAAAUAGGCCUUAUAACUAGUCCUAAUCUAAUUAGAAAACUAAAAUAAAAAAACUCCUAAUUAUUUUAAUAUGGAAAUUCGGUCAAAGGUCAUUUUAUCUGGGACUCUUGGACUGAAUAUUGACAUAAAAAUUUAAACUAAGUAAAUAAAUAAAUAAAAAAAUAAAAAUAAAACUUUACAACUUGGGCCACUUUGACAAUUUGGCCUGAUUUUCAAUUAAGUAUGGAUGAAUUUCUUGAUUGGGCUGGGAAUUUGCUUAUUGGGCCUCGCCUUCAAGAAUUUGGGCUUUUGUGACUCGUAUCAUUCCCCCCUUCCUCAAAAAGAUUCGUCCUCGAAUCUGAAAAAUCAAAUGAACUCGACUUUCCUCUAUCGAACGGGACUAAUGGCAAUUGAGUCCACUGAAAAGAAUAGCCAUGAGAUAGUAAAUAGCAACGGAAACAAGCUUGUAGUCCAAUCAUAAGCAUAACAGAACAGGUAUAACGCAUGUGAAUGGACAGAUUCAGAUUACCAUGCAAACAAUCUAAUUUACUCACCACUGCCUCGUCAAAUAUUUGAAACAAAGAUGGACAUGUUUUAAGGCAUUCAGUCGUCUCACAUUGUUCCCACAAACCAUGAAUAAAUUGCGAGUAAUAAAUCAAAUGGUAAACAUAAUCGUCACAAGUAGGUAUUUGAAAAGAUUCACAUGGUUCACAGAGUUGCAUAAUCAUACCAUGCAUUAAUCGACGGUCUAUAGAUUCACUCACACAUGCAUUAUCAAAAACAAGAAUCUUUUUAUCAACCAUCAAAACAGAUAGAUCAUCAAUAAAUAAAAUAGGACAGUCAAGCACGUUUCGAUCUAAGUGUUCAUCAACACGAUCUUUAUCACUAUCCGAGGAGUACAAAAGUGUUUCAAAGGUUUCAAGCAUCUUACCUCGAUAAGCAGAAGAAUAAGGGUCGAUUUUACCUUUUUCAUUUAAAACAAACCUUCGCUCAUCGGGGGCAUAGUGUAGUCGAAUCUCCGUUGUUGAGUUAACCUUUGUCAAAUGGAACUCAAACUUCAUGUACAACCACAUAAACUGUUUAAGGCACGAAUAUAAAUUGAAAACAAAUUUGGAAAAUUUCGUUACCUUAUUCUCCAAAACAGAUUUGGACAAAUUCGAGGAUUUUACACAAGGUAAAUCAAGAGAAUAACAAAUCACGCUUCUUUUCGUAAUGACUUUAUCAACCACAAUCGAAGAGUAACAAUUAAUCGGAUCAAAAUGAGGGGAUCCUUUAAGAACUAAGUCACCAAAAGUUUUAUCAAUAAUUUUCAAAUCUGCACUGGACUCGGUUUCUAAAAUUUCCUUACCUCGUUUACCUUCGGGAUCAUGUUGUGUGAUUUCAUCUUUGCCUAAGUUGAUCGUAUGAAAGCGUCUUUCAUUUGAGAGGUAUUGAAGUUGAAAGUUAUCUUUCGAUCUUUCGGGAACCUGAAAAGUAGCAACACAAGAAAAAUUCAUAUCUUGGUUAGUGGAAACAUUCCUCACUACCCUUUCCACGUCUUUUUCUUUUGUUUCUUUUUCUAAUUCAUUUUCUCUUCUUUCUUCAAUUUCUUUUUCACUCUCAAUCUCUUUUUGCUCUUUUUCAUUCUCUUUUUCUUUUUCCUCACUUGUUUUAACAGAAUUUUUCAGUUUGAUUUGGUCCUCAUGGACUUGUUCCGGAGUGAGCGGCACUAAGGUGAGUUUCUUUCCUUGAUGCUUGAAAGAAUACCUAUUGGUACGACCAUCGUGAGUGACUUUUCGAUCCAAUUGCCAUGGUUCUCCUAGCAAUAAAUGGCAGGCUUGAAUAGGCAUUACGUCGCACACAACUUCGUCUUGAUACUUACCGAUAGAAAAGGCGAUGCGCACUUGUUGAGUGACCCUAAAUUGGCCUUUGUUGCUAAGCCCUUGUAGUUGAUAAGGUUGUGGAUGCUUGGUAGUGGUUAAGCAAAGCUUUUCCACCAUCGUCGUGCUGGCUAUGUUCGAGCAACUUUCACCAUCAAUAAUAACUCUACAAAGCUUACCUUGUACAUGGCAGCGAGUAUGAAAGAGAUGUUCUCGUUGCUGCUCGCUCUUUGGUUUUGCAAAAGAUGAUUGUCCACGAUCAUGAAAAUCAUCAUCCAUUCUAGUGACACGUCGAGGGCCGCGCCUCUGGGGUUGGUUAUCCCUAUCUUCUUUGAUUGGAUUUCGAUAUUGAGGUUCUUGAUUCAAUUGCACCUCAUUGACGGUAGCAGUCAAAGCUCGAAGAGCAGCAGCCUGUUCAUCCAACUGUUGUUGGAAUUUUUUAAAUAUGUCACUAUUAUUAUCACCUGUAGACAUUUUUUUUAAAACCUGCAAAACACUCAACACUCAAAAAUAAAAGUUAUCAAACCUCACCGUUAAUCACUCAAAAAGAAAAAAUCAAAUUCUCAAUGAGGUAGAAUUCAAUCUUGUGAGUUCUUUAUCAAAGUUUAUAUCAACCAAUUAGAGAGUGGAUGAACCGAUCUACCAAAGAAUCCUAAUGUGCACUAGGAUGCCAAAAACUGACGAGACACCAAUUGAUUCGUGUUGCACCGAGGAAGAAUUGGGCACACGUUUAAAUCCUACUAACACAAAAAACAAGAAGGUGUUAGAUAUUGUAAAGGGAGAAUAAAAAGCAAACAAAUGAAAACCUACAGCUAAGAAUCAAUAAAAAUUGUUGAAAAUAGAAAACCCGAAAAACUGCGGAGUAACUUGACAACUUCGUUCGAGGUGUUCCCGAUCUCAAAAAAUCACAAAAUUAAAUCUGGAAUGUCUUCAAAUAUUGAAUUUUUGAUCUGGAAAAUUUGGGCACCAAAUUCAACCCGCUGAAUAUUUUUUUAAUUUUUUAUUGGAUUUCGUAUUUUUUCAAUUUUUUGACUUUUUCGACUUAUUUUUUUGCGGAAAAUAUUUUUUUAUAUUCAAUAACAGUGCCAAAAAUAUGUAUGUAAAAUUUUAGAUCAAUCAGAAAACGUUUACCCACUCAAAUGAAUUUUUUUCGAAAAUUUUUCUGGGUAAAACUGCUGUUUGUAAUUUAAAAAAUAGAGAUCAGUUUAGAAAUCAACCAAGAACACCCAAAACGCCCAAAAUCUGAUACCAAAUGAUACGGGGUUGCGCGCGGACCAAGAUCGAGUUGCAAAGUCACGAGAAACUCCUACGAAAACCCUAAACAAUUAGAUCUGAAACGAAACAGAAAAUUAAAAGAUUAGAUUUUUAAAUUUUCAGAUCUGAAAUAAAAUCCCCAAAUCAGCAAAGAAUCAAAUUGAGAAUAGAAAUAAGUGUUAGGGUUCUUGAAACCCUCAAGGAGAUUGUGAUUCUGCCCAAUUGAACACCAAGAUAGUUUUCCCCAAAUUUCGACAAUCUAAUUUCACCCAAAAAAGAGUAUGGAAAAACCCUAGAAAUUGGGGAUUUUUGGGCUGAUUCCUUAAGAUAGAAAAAGGCUGAAAACACAAUAAGAAUAGAAAAUAGAUUAGAUAAUGAUUCAGCACAAGUAGAAAUAAAGAAAGAAUUGACAGUAAGAAAUUAAAAGAUAAGUCCUAAGAAGCCUUGAAAUCUCGAAAGAUCUCACAACUCCCUUCAAACGGCUCUAAUCUCCCCUCCAAAGAAUAUCAAUGGCAAGAAGAAGGUUGAAGAUGGCUCCCACAAUCACAAGAUUGUUAAAACAACUUCUAAAGAAAACUCAAGAGAAAAAUCUUGGAGAAAGCUCAAAGAAAAUUCUGCUCUCAAAAAAUCUGAAAUUUUAAUAAUAAUGAUAAGUGUUUUACAAGGUGGACAGCCAUGCCUUUAAAUAGGCCUUAUAACUAGUCCUAAUCUAAUUAGAAAACUAAAAUAAAAAAAACUCCUAAUUAUUUUAAUAUGGAAAUUCGGUCAAAGGUCAUUUUAUCUGGGACUCUUGGACUGAAUAUUGACAUAAAAAUUUAAACUAAGUAAAUAAAUAAAUAAAUAAAUAAAAAUAAAAAUAAAACUUUACAACUUGGGCCACUUUGAUAAUUUGGCCUGAUUUUCAACUAAGUAUGGAUGGAUUUCUUGAUUGGGCUGGGAAUUUGCUUAUUGGGCCUCGCCUUCAAGAAUUUUGGCUUUUGUGACUCGUAUCACCAGCUCUAUAGGUCAGUGGAAACCUUCAUCACCUUACGACCAAACACAGCUUCAACACUGUUUCAUAGUACUGUUUUGAGACCAUAUGCAUAGGUUAAUGUAAAAAUAUUUGGACAGUAAAACAAGUUCAAGAUUCUUUAGAAAUGCCCUAUGGCAGCUGCAAUCUCUGUCUGUUCCAUUACCCAUAACAAAUAAUAUGUUUUAAAUCACUCCUAAGUUAUAUAUAUUUUUACAAAAUGAAAUUUAAAUUUAAAAUGUUAUAAAAGUUUUAAAACUUCAAUUUCAUUAGUAAACCAAAUUAAUUUUAGGUCAAUUAUACAUAUACCUUUAAAUUUUAUUAUAUUUAAAAUGUAUUUAAAUAUCUUUUCUUUCAUUAUUGUUUGGGUGAUUGAUAAAGAGAUGAAAUUAAAGUUAGGACGAUAUCAUUUAAUAGAUACUUUUUUGCUUUGUGUGUUCUAAUUUUGUGCUGUUUAUUUUUAUUUGAUAAUGUGUAAUUGCAACUUCAAUUCUUUGAUAGUGUGUUCUAAUUUUAAAAUAUUGCAGUAGUGGCUCGUCUGCCUUUAAUUGCACAAAAUGUGAGGCGUAAAAAAAUUGGUAUUGCUGUGACAAUAUGGUUGGAAAUCUGUAGAAUUGUGAUUUGGUUCUUAUUUAGAAUGGGUGCCAGCCUUAGCCUACAUAGACCAAGGAUUAGGUCCUAUACCUUAGAUUUUUAUGCAAAACGGGAUUAUGUGAAAAGGCUUGUAUAUGCUAGUGACGAGACCUGUAUUGAACAAGUUAGGAUGAAUAGAACUGCAUUUUUUAAACUAUGUGAGAUGUUAGAAUCGAUAGGGGGAUUGAAGUCGUCAAGGUUCAUGCUUGUUGAUGAGCAAGUAGCAAUGUUUUUACAUAUCAUCUCCCAUCACCUGAAAAAUCGAGUUAUCAAGCAUCACUUUAGAAGGUCCGGGGAAACUGUUAGCAAAGCAUUUCAUAGUGUUUUAAAUGUUGUCAUACGCUUACAAAAUGUGUUAUUUAAAAAGCCGGAGCCAAUUACAGCCGAUUCUUCUGACACAAGGUGGAAAUGGGUUAAGGUAUUGGACUGAGUUUUAUAUAUAACUUGCAUGCGAAAAGUUGAUUUAGAUUUAAAUUAGUAUUCUAACUCAAGGUUUUAUAUCAUGUGAUAUAGAAUUGCUUAGGUGCUCUUGAUGGAACCCACAUCAAGAUUAGGGUUCCAACAGUUGAUAAACCUAGAUAUCGAACGCGAAAAUGUGACAUAGCAACAAAUAUGCUAGGUGUUUGUACACCUGAGAUGCAAUUUGUUUAUGUUCUUCCUGGUUGGAAAGGUUCAGUUGCCGAUGGACGGGUGCUUCGAGAUGCCAUUAGUAGAAGACAUGGACUAAAAGUUCCUCAUGGUAAAGUGUAUAGUUAGAGGACUUUGAAUUAUUCAUUAAGAUCAAACUUUGUGUGCUGAAUUAAUCAUUUUAAAAAAAAAAUUAUUUUAUAGGUUGUUAUUAUCUAGUUGAUGCUAGAUACACAAAUUGUGAGGGAUUUCUUGCACCAUUUAGGGGACAGCGAUAUCAUUUGAACGAGUGGCGUCAGGGUUAUCAGCCAAGUUCUUCGCAAGAGUUUUUUAAUAUGAAACAUGCCUCAGCACGUAAUGUUAUUGAAACAUCGUUUUAUCCUGUAAAGGUGCACAAUAGAAUUAUUAUUGCAUGUUGUUUGCUCCAUAAUUUUAUUCGAACCUAUAUGAGUAUUGAUCCCAUUGAAGUGGAGGUGGGAGAAGGAUUACCUAGUAAUGUGGUGGAUGACGAUGAACCAAAUAUCACAAAUAUUCAUCCAUCGGAUGCUUGGGCUACUUGGAGGAUGGAACUAGCCAACCAAAUGUUCGGUGAAUGGCAAACAUCUAGAAAUUAGUUAGGUUUAGGGACAAAUUGAGUUUGACUUAAUUUGUUGAUGUUAUUUUAUGUAUCUAGUUUAUGAAACUUUGGUGGUGUUUGAUUAAAAUUCUGUAUUGUACUAAACUUUGUUGAAUUAUAAUUUAAUUAUCUUUUCAUUCAGCAUGUGUUAUAAUUUUAAAUUUAGUAUUGAGCUUUUGAUUUAAGAUAUUGAACUAACGAUAUAAUUUUAUAAACUGUUCACCUUUUGAUUCAUGAUAUUAAAAAUAGUAAAUAAUGUUAAUUUGUUUUUUUUUCUUAAGAUAAUUAUGUCAGAUGUUCCACAAUUACAUGCUUCUUCUCAAGCUUCUCGAGGAACCAAAAGAAAAUGGGUUCCAGAAGAAGAUGCAGCCUUGGUUUCUUGCAUGGUGGACUUACACAAUGUAGGAACAUUUAAUGCUGAUACCGGGUUCAAAGUUGGUUAUUUGAACGAGUUGGAAAAAAUGCUAGAAAAGGCUUUACCAAAUGCAAUGUUGAAGGCGAAACCAAAUAUUGAAUCUCGGAUUAGGUUACUAAAAAGGGAAUGGUCAGUCGUCUAUGACAUGCUUAAUGGUCAAAACAAUAGCGGUUUUGGUUGGGACGAGCAUAGGCAGCUCGUUGUUGCUGAAGAUGCAGUUUAGGACUCCUAUGUAAAGGUAAAAUGUAUUUCAAGUCUUUAUUUGUUUUUUUACUAAACUUAUAACUAAUAUAAUUUCCUCAUUUUUUUUAGAGUGGCAAAGAAGUCGCUCAAUUCAGACACUGUACUUUCCCUUACUACGACCAGUUGACUGCCAUAUACGCAAGAGAUCGAGCUACUGGGAAAGAUGCUCAAACAGCUGCUGAUGUUCUUCAAGAAAUAAAUGCUGAGGAUAUACCUACUACAGAUAUGAAUGAAGAGAGAAACACAUUCUAUAACUGCGAAGCUGACAUCUCUUUGGACGACAUGGAUGUUUCUGGUCCGGAGCGGCGAGGAGAUAGAGACCAAGGGGGUUCCUCAUCUUCGAACAAGAGAAAGAAGAAAUCUGAUGCUCGUGUUAAUAUGUAUUCUUCAUUUGAUGAGGCUGCCAUUUUAUUGGCCGAAAACAUCAAGGCCGUUGGCGAUCAAAUCAGUAGGAGUAUUGCCUCCGAGGUGGUAGUUCAGCAGAAGUCAGAAGAAUAUCAAAAGAUGGAAGAGAAAGCUUCAAAUUUAUAUUCAGCCUUAUAGGAAAUUGAAGGUUUAACCGACGAUCAGUGGUAUGAAGCUUUGAGUAAAAUUUCAGAUCAUCCAACUCAAAUGAUCGUUUUCUUUAGUUUACCUUCUGUUGCUCGAUUGGAAUGGGUCAGAAGAUUUCUUUCUCACCAUUAAAAAUCAAUGUUCAAACUUUUUGAUGUUGUAAAACUAUAUAACAUAUGGAUUAUGAUGUAGAAUUUCAUUUUCAUCUAACAUUUUCUUAAUAUAAGUUAAUUAUGUUUAUGCAGAAUAUAAUUCUCAAGUUAUAUUUUGAUUUUAGUAAAUUCAUAUAAGAACAUUUUAUUAUUAAGAAUUUUAUGAAAUUAUAUAUCAUUAUUAAAUUAUAUUUAAUAUUAAUUAUUUUAAAUUGUAUAAAUUCAUAUAAGAAAAUUUAUUAUCAAGAAUUUUAUGAAAUUAUAUAUUAUUAUUAAAUUAUAUGUAAUAAUAAUUAUUUUAAAUUAUACAAAUUCAUAUGAGAUAAUUUAUUAGUUAUAAUUAUUUUAAAAUUUAUUAAAUCAUAUAUUUUAAUUAAAAUAUAUUUAAUAUUAAUUAUUUUAAAUUAUCUUUUAUAGUAUCAUAUAUUAUGAUUUGAGUAAAUUCAUAUAAGAAUAUUAAUUAUUAUGAAUUUUAUUAAAUUAUAUAUUUUAAUUAUAAUAUAUUUAAUAAUAAUUAUGUUAAUUUAUAUUUUAUAGUAUCAUAUAUUAUGAUUUCAGUAAAUUCAUAUAAGAAUAUUGAUUAUUAAGAAUUUUAUUAUAAUUAUAUAUUUUAAUUAUAAUAUAUUUAAUAAUAAUUAUGUUUAAAUAUGAUUAAAUUAUUUAUUAUUGAUAUUAGUAAUCUUAUUAAAAUUUAAAUAACAAUUAAAAUAAUCAUUUACCAAAACAAAUUUAUGCUAAGGGUAUUUUAGUCACUUUAGUUUUUUCCAUUAUGCUAUUACACCUCUAAUCCAUUCAACCAAACAAUUGAUUUGCUAUUACGCCUCUAUUUCAAUACAGCGAACCAAACGUGCCCUUAAGUUUUAAAAACACUCUACGUGCGGUGUGUCAGCCAAUAAUGGAAGAACAAGAAUACUAAUAAUAGAGGGGAUUCCUUGUCACACCUCUGCCAUACCUUUAUUUACUUUCACAAGAAAAUUAUUAAAAUUUAAAUAAGUUGAGGUGGAAAAGCAAAAUAUAAAAAAUUUGAGGUGUCGUUUAUAAAGUUUCAAAAUUUGAAUUUUAACUCAAAAAAAGGAAUCAUCGUGAGGUAUGCAAUUUGCAAAUCUUACUUGGGGUUACAAAUAUUGCGUUUUCUAUCCAUAAGCACACCAUCGGCCCAAUGACAAAUCUUAGUUAAAAUUAGUAAAUCAUUUCUUGUUUGGUUAAAUUUAACAUCUAGGUCCAAAUUUAUUAACUCUUUAUAAAAUCAUAUUGCAUCCAAAUCUUUUUUCUUUUAAAAAAGAAUGAUAAUUUUUAAAAUUUCUUGAAAAUAAAUUUUAAAAUAGGAUUAAUAAACUUUUAUUGAUACAAAGAAGAUCGGAAGUUCUCACCCCAUUCUCUUCCCUCUUGACUUACAGUCCUCUCUAAAGAAAAUUAAAACCUUAAUUUUCUUAGUUUUUCUACUUGUCAACAAAUGGCCACUUUAAGGUUUUAAAAAUACCAUGUAAUAUAUUAAAUCUUAAAUAUGGAAAUUUUUCUCAUCAUUCUUUUUCAAUUUUGUUCUUACUACAUUCUUUUACAAUUGUAUUUUAUUGUUAUAAAACUUUAUUUUAUAAUUUUAAAAAUUAUAUGGAUGUAUAGCGAGACAUACAAUAAUUAAGUUUAAAAUGAUACUAAAGUUGUUUGUGGAUGUCAUUUUAAUAACCAACCUUCCAAUGGGUGAGCAGAUAAUAACAUAGACCUAGAGUUAUUGUGUUAUUGGUUGUUGGGUGUUAUGCCAACCAAUAAGAAGAAAAAAUACGCUGGGAAUCAUGUGAAAUACACAUGAUUGUAGAAACUUGUCAAACCAAUCAUUUUGCAUAAUUGACCACCUAUAAAUGAGUUAGCAAAAUAUAACACCAAAAAUAUAAGAGAUUAGAACAAUGAUGUUUGCAAGUGCAUGAGUCAAAUUGUAAUAUGGUUUAGUACAACGAAAUACUUUGGAAGUAUUUCUAAAAUUGUACCCAAGGAGGAUGGAAAAAAUUAUGAAAACCUUUUUACAAUAUCUAAGUAGUAGUAAUUAAUUGCUAUAUUACAAUAAACCAUAAAGUAGAUUAAAGAGCUAAAUCAAUUAACUAAAAUAAAUAAACGAUUUAAAUGAAAUAACCAAUCAAGAAGAUUAACUCGCUUCAGGAUUUGUAAACUUUGGUUAGGGUUUUAGGGUGGAUUAACUAUCGAUUAACCAAUUAUUACUUCCUGACCUCUAAUUAACUAAUCAAUUGACUUAUCUCCUGGCCUCGUCUAGCUUGUGAUACCUUCCUAGGAUUGUCAUUUUAAUGGUUUAAGCACACAUAAUCUAUACUAACUAACCCUCUUGAGAAAACCUUAAACCCUAAUAGAUUAAGUGGCAUCUUUAUAUUGACAAAUCUCACAUAUGUACUAGAAUAUGACUAAAAUUUAAAAGUAAAAUAAAAUCACACCGAAUUUUUUUAAAAAAACUGUGAACAAAAAUAUAACCACGAAAUUGUGAAUAAAAUUAGGAUAACGUGGAUUAAAAUAUUAAUUCUAACAUAUUUUGUUAUAGGGAAAAAAGAACGGGGCAAUAGAAGAGUUUUGGUACAAAUCUUAUCAAAGAUCACUCAAAUUGAUUCGAAAACUUUAAUGAAGCAAAUGAAACGGGGGUAUGGUUUUUUUUAAUCUUGGAAACAAUGUGCGCGCGGUAUAAGCUUCAGAUAAUGUCAAAUCCUUCAUUGGAAAAACCCCUUCUAUGAACACCAUACAAAUUAUAACAUUGUUUGGUUGACGACUUUGAUUUUAUGUUUACUUAUUAUUCUCACUUCAUAAAAAGCAAUUUAAACAUUUAAAAAGAACUAACAUUAUUCAUCUACUCUAUUUUCUUUUCUCUUCAACUCUUAUUACAUUUUUUAAGUAUGAUUUUUAUUUUUCUGUGUUUUUCCAAUAUUUAAAAUUUAGUCCCCAUGUCUUUAUUUUUAGAAAUUUAACCUCUUUACUUUUCAAAUUUAAAAAUUCACUUUCAAUUAGAAUUUAUAAUUUUGUGAAGGAAGGCGUUAGGAUUUCCUCUUAUAUAUAUAGUAGUAAAUAGCAUAUAUUAUUCACAUAAUACUUUCUUCACUUAAUUACAUCAAAUAUCUUUAAAUUCAAUAUUCCUUUUAAAUUCGUCUUUAUAUUAAUAAAAUUAUCUAGUUACUUUAGUCGUUUAAAUUUAUGUACAUAAUUUAAAAUAAAAAUUUUAAUUUUAAAUUUUUUGAAUCUUUUACAGAAAUUAUGAUUCACUCUAUUUCUUUUUUGGUUUUACUUUAUUUUUAGUUUUUAAAUUUUAAAAGUUAUGCGGCAACAUUUUAUUUUUCUUUAAAAUUUUUAUUUUAAAUUUUAAAUUACGUCAUAUAUAAUAUUUUACUUGUCAUUUAAUUAUUAAAUCAACAAUUUUAAUAAUGAAAAGUCCUGCUUGAUAAAAUAUUGAUAAUUUAAAAUGUAAUUAGAACAUUUUAAAAUUUGAAGCUCAAUUUAAAAUAUAAAUGGUAAUUUGAUAUGUUUGGUACAACUAACCCUAUUUUUUCCCUUUCACUUAAAAGUUAGUUUUUUUUUUUGAACAAUUUUAUUAUAGGUUCCAGUAAUAUCUGCUCUUUUUUGAUAUAAUGUCUAAAAUUAUCAAUAGUUCCUCUCCAACUCAUAAAUAGAAAAAUUAUACGUUUCAAUACGCUCAAAUCUACAUCUUCCUACAUUACCAAUAAUGUUGAUUUAUUUUAUAUGAAUUUAUAUAUUUUUACAUAUUUUCUUAUUUUGAUUUAUUUUAUAUGCUGAGAAUAUAGUUUUAAAUUUUCCGGAAUAUAUAACGGUGACCCUGGUUCUGCCACGUGUCUAAGCCGUAGAAACAGGCUGUUAUUUUAUCAAAACCACAAUUCUUUCUCUUAAAAUUUGAGAAAUCUCAUGAUAUCUUUGGUAAAAAAAAGAGAAGAAAAAAGCCGGCCUAUAAAAUUGAAAAAAAGAAACAAACAGAUUCAAAUAGUUGGGAGUUGGGACCCUCGCCAAUUGGGCAAGUGGUUUUUUAUUUCCUUUGCUUCUUAAAGCAAACCCAAUGCUGUCUGGUUUUUCUUUGCUGUCCUUUUGAGGGCCCCUUUCCGCAGUUUUUCGAAUUUUAAAAAUUCAAAAUUGUUUUAUAUAUUUUUUAUUGUUUCACUUAAAAUAACAAUAAUAAUUAAUGGACCGUUUGAAAUAAAGAAAAGACAAAAGACAGCGAAAUUGAGUAGAGAACAUAGGAACGUGCCAGGGCUGAUUGUUGUGUCGGGACCCACAACAGGAAGGCUAAAUGUUCGAUUUGGCUCUGUUCUGCACUUGUUUACAUUAUUACUACCUUUGUUUUUAUUCUUCUUUAUAGUUUUUGUCCUUUUGCUUUAUAAUUAAUUUUAUUAUAUUCUUUUGGUUUAUUGUCUUUUUGGACCUAAAAUUUUUUGGGCUAAUUUGGUAUUUGAAUUUAGUUUUUUAAAAAAAUUAGAUAUCUAAACUUUUUUUAAGUUCAAUUUAGUACCUAAAUUUAUUAAAUGUUAUACAAAUGGUGCAAAACACUAGUAAUGUUAUUUUUCUUUGUUAUGCUAAAAAUAUUGUCGUAUUAGAGGAAAUUCAUGUUAAAAGAAUAGGUAUUGGGCUAUACUUAAUGAAUUAAUAUUAAAUAUAAGAUUUAAAAAAACCCAAAUUAAAAGAAAUGUAUUGUUUUCAAUUAAUAAAACUAAAAUUAAUUGAGCAUAUAGAAUACAAAAAAAAAUCAUAUAUAAAUUGAUUAUUUUUGCUACAUCAUAAAAUAUAACAUUGUUAGUAUAUUGGAGUAAUUCAUAAAACGUUUGACAAGUACCAAAUCGAACAAAAAAAGAGCAGGUACCAAAUUAGGAAAAAGAGUCGAAUUGAAGCACUAGAUUGGACCCCCAAAAAGUUUAAGUAUCAACUUAAAAAAAAGUUGUCAAGUUUAAAUACCGAAUAUUAUAUUAAACCUAUUAUUUUAUUAAAUUUAAAAUAUUUAUUAAUUACAUUCAUAUAUAUAUCACUUUAAUUGAUUAAUUAGUGUAUUUGAUCUAUAAAAUAGUAAAUGCUUAUAAUUAAAUAUCUAUUCUAUUUUUAGUCUUGAGUUGAAUUCCAGCUAUAUAUAUUUAUUUAUAAAUUGGAAGGGUGGUUUUGUGUGAAUUUUGUUUUGGAAGCCGAUAGAUACUAGAGAGUAGUUUUCAUUUAAUUUUGGAUAUUCGUUAGGUGUAAAUUAAUGAAGUGAAGCAAUGCAAAUAUUGUAUAGAAACAGCAGGCAUUCCUUAUUAACUUAUCCUUUCUUUUUUCUCAUAUUAACCACCAUGACCAAAAAUGUUCAUGCUCAUUUUCUUUCAUUUUACUUUUUAUAUUUCCUAUCAACCACCCUCAAUUUUUCUUUACUUUUUAUUAGUCAAAAUUUAAAUUAAAAAUUUUCAACAAAAAUGAAUAUAGAAAAAAGAACCUAAAAUCCCUAAAAAGUAAAACUCGUCCAUUCCUCUCGUGGAAUCCAUAGUCAUUUUUGACCGUCCUAAAUCCGAAAGUCUUAAAUUAAGUUAGAGGUUUAUGAUGUACAAAUAGAUGUGUAAAAUUUUAAAUUUAUGAAAUGAAAACAAGCACCUAGUAGGUUUUUAAAGAAAAAUGUCAAAACUCACUUUAGAGAGCAUUAAGAUUUAAAUUAAAUAUUGAGAAAUUUUUAUAUAAAAAAAAAACUAGAAUAAGACUUUUAAAACCAAAGUUUUUAAUUAACGGAAAUUGUUAACCUCACAUUAAUUUUUUUUAUUUACUCAAUUUUAAAUAUUAUAAAGACGAAAUGAAUUGCUGCAUGCAUUAUAAUUUAUGAAUGAAAAUAAUUACGAUUGUUAUCAUAUAAUACAUGAAUCUGGAGAUUAAAAGUGAGACAGGUAGGAUCCAACUAACAUCAAAAUAUCAUAAAUCAUUGGAAUCACAAGAAUCCACCGAUUUUGGUUUUUAUUUGUAUUGUUGUCAAAAGUGGAAGUCUGUUGGUAUAAUGUUUUGCAUGUUAAGAGUGGAAGGGAUGCAGCUGGGUAUGAGAAAUAUAGACAUACAUAUUCAACACACAACCUAAUUAGUUCAACUGUUUAUGGAACACCACACCCAUUACCUUUGUUUCUCAAUAUAUUUAUAUUUAUAUAUAUAUAUAUAUUUUACUUCCAAGUUUGAAUAAAUAAUUAAGGUUAAAGAUCUCAUACAAUAUUUGAGUUGCAUUAAUAUUCAACAAGUGUUAAGUGUAAUGAUAAGACAUUUUGUACAUUCAAAUUCAAGUUUUGAAUUACUAUUUCCUCUGUCUAGGAAUCCAAGCUCAUUUAAUUUUUUUUUUGGAUUAAAAUUCAUGUACAAUGCAAUUCAAGCUUUCAAUUACCAUUUGUUCAUGUGAGAGUCUAAGUUCAUUAAAAUUUUUCCCUCUAAAAUAAAUAUUAUCUAUACAAUUUUUGUUAAUUUAGUCUUUUAUCUUUUAAAAGUACAUAAAAUUUUUUUAUUUUUUAAAUGAAAAACAUAAAAUUUUAAAAAAUAUAAAAAAUACCAAAAUUCCAACAUAAUUAACUAUUAGAAACCGAAAUCGACAUAUCGAUUGCUGAUUUGGGAUUACAAGAAUUCCAUAUCUAUAUUUGACAAAAUCAUUACUUCAUAAUCACCCUAAAUCAUCAACCGUUAUAUCGAUUUGGGAUUCCCAUAUAGAGUUCAUCCGAUCUCACAUAAUCCAUGAGCUUCAAUUAAGUAAUUAAUCAUAUCUAGAAAUCUCAAUUUUGAAUAUGCUCAUUUUUCAUUCCAGUUUUAACCUCUUUCACCUUAUGCUUUCCAAGUUGCUUCCGCACAAAACCAGAAAUGGUUGUACAUUUGUUUUAUUCUUACACUGGUUUUUUUUUUUUUUUAAAGUUUAAAACUUGUGUUUUAAUUUAAUAAAGAUAAGUCUUUGAUUUAAUUAUUUAUGCGAAAAGAAAUUACACUUCUAGGCUCUAGCUUCCUUCUACAAAUAGCUGCAAAAAAUAUUUGGUCAAAUAGUUACUUUUUUUUAUUUAGAAAAAUAAAUUUAUUUUGGAAACGGUGACUGAAAGUGCAUUCAGCUAAUAAUAAUAAAAUAAAGGAAAUUUUCGAGUUUUAUUCUUGUAGAUAGAGAAAGCUUAUACUCUGGUUAGAGAUCUAUUUCGGUUCGACUCUAAGUUUAAUCAAAACUCAAGAUGACUAUCAAAUACCAAGAAGUCUCACUCUCAUACUCAUAAACAAACAAAAAAUAUGAAUCAAAUUGAGUUGGAUCAAACUUUAAUAUUAAAUAUAUUUGUCCAAGUUCCAACUCAUCACAAGAGACUCUUAAAUUCUUUUCAUUAUUUAUGAUAUAUUAAAUAUUUUAUGGUGAUAUUUAUAUAUUUUAAUAAUUAAAAUUAAAUAAAAAUAUUUUCAUGGAGUAAAAUAAUACUUAAACCCCAACGAGACUUUGACAAUGUCAAGAAAGGUUGAAGUUCAUAGGCUUUAAUAGUUUAGGUCUGAGUCUCACCAUGCACAAAUGCUAUGUAUGAGCUCUCCUUGGUAAUAUUUUGGAUAUAUGUUCUACCACGAUUGAGCUCUUUUUGAAUUUAUUCCGGUUUAAGUCUAGAAAUAUUUUGGUUUUCAGUUUGUUAUGUUUUGUAUUAGAUUGAUUCUAAAUCCAAUCCUAAUGGAUUGAACAUAUAUUAAUUGUCAUUUGUAUGUUACUUAUUGGUAUACACCUCCGUCACAAAGACAUUUGUCAAGUUCAAAGGGCAUUGUUGACUCUGCAGUGACCCUCUAAGUACAACUAUCCGGCUCACUUCAAACGAAACCUACCAUCUGUGCUCACAAGAGAAUGUUAUUCUAAUGUGAACACACUUCCAAAAUAAUGAGACUAUUUAGGCUUAAUUACUUCAUACUGAUAAAAUCCCAUAAUACGUGCUCAUGAUUAUCCAUUAUGUGUUUAAUGAGAUUAAAUUCUUAUCUAGCCAAUAUUAUACCAGUGGACAAGGAGACUUUUUUCCUAUAAAUAUCAUAGAAAAUUAUGAGCAAAGGAUCAACUAUUUUUAUACUCUAGAGUUACUUUGAGCAUUUAUCUUUUCAACCAGCUUGUCUCAUUAUCCUUAUUCUAACUCUCAACUUCUAUAGAUUAACCGAUCUUCACUACACCAUUUUAAUCUCCUCCUUUCUCAGCUUUAUUUUCCUCCCUACUUAUAUUUUGUAUCAACACUUAAUUCUCAAAAACUCCUUUAAAAAAUAAUAACACUCGGAGCGAAGAUGAACUGUGACCCAUAUUCUAUACUAAAUCCAAUUUAAUCUAAGGUAAGAUUUAAUUAAUUGGAUGAUUGAACAGAUUUAAAUGAGAAAUUAUGGUUUUAAUUUUAUUUAGAAAGGCUGAGAGAAUGUAGCUGAUUUUGUAUUCUACAUAUAGAUGGAAAGGCCCAAUGGACAUCUCUAUAUCUAAAACCCCAACAACCUAAGCCCCAUCGUGAGAAGAAUUCAUCUAAGCACUGUAGUUUUUUUUUUAAACAAAAUAAAACUCAUUCUAUGAGCUAAUGGUUCCUAUUUAGCUUUUUCAUAAAUUUUUACACCACCUCAAAAUGUGGAUACCUUUGGCAUAGUGGAGGACUAAAUUCAAAUACACUAACUUAUCCAAUUAGUCAUUCAAUUAUUAGCUUGUUUUUGUUUUGAUCACCAAAUUAAAAAAAUAUAUGUAAUCUCAUUGCUGACGUUAUCAUUCAUUUUUGUUUUGGUAACUCCCCGGUUAAAUUUGUUAACGAAGAUGGUGAGGUGAUCUUUUUUAACAUGAUAUGAUUGCAUAUUUAGUCCUCAAUACUUACACAUUUUAUCAAAUUAAACCUAAUUUAAAAAAAAAAGCCACCUCACCAUUUAUGUUAAAAAUUUAAUUGGGAAUGACCAAAACAAAAAUAAAUGAUAUUGUUAGUAACAAAAUUAAAAGUGGCCAAAAUAAAAAUAUGCUAAUAAUUAAGUGACUAAUUGUAUAGUUUACUCGCGCGGGUGCUGUAACAUGAAUCAGAGACCUAGUGUGUAAUACCCUAUUUUUGGCCCGGGUCUAAAGGGCCCAAAUUACAACGGGCCUAUGUAGCCCAAAACCCGAAAUAAGCAGAGGCCUAAAGCAAUGGCCCAACACAAUAUCAGAAACCCUAGGGUUUCUGGGAUGAGUCUUGCGCCACAUCCACCUAGCCUUGCCCUCCGAAUUUCAGCCGAAUCUUCACCUGCAUAGCAAAUCAGCACAAAAAAAAGGAAGCAAAACAAUAAUGGAAAGGAAUCAAAGGAUUGAGAAUCAAAUCAAUGUAAUGGAAAGAAAUCAAAAGAUUAAGAAUAAAAUCAAUGUAAACAAGAUUUUAUUUCUAUAUUUUUUUAUUAUUAUGGCUAUAUAAAGCCAUUGAAACAUUGUAAAAUGAGGGGACUGAAAAGAGAGAGAAGGAAAAUUUUCUUUUUGAAUACAAAGGUUUUUUUCUCUCUAUUGAGGAUUAUCGUUCUUUUAUUUUUCAUUUAUAUAUAGAUGUAUAUAUAUUUUUAGUUUCUUUAUCUCUUUAUUUAUUUUUGCUUAAAAUAUAAAGAAAGGAGGAAAGGGCUUACUCCUCAAGUUGGAAUCGCCGGAUUUGUGCCGUCUCCGUCGCAAUCGGAGCAUCAGCAAGAGUGAACGGUGGCAUCAGGGGGCUGGGGUUAAAAACCCUAGUAGAGAGCCUUUGUUUUUUUUUUGUUUUCUUUUUUUUCUAUGCUGCAAACAAUGUUUUUUUCUAAAAAAAAAAUUGUUUUAAAUCAUGCUAGCGAAACGGCACCGUUUUGGGGAGGCGGAUUAUUUCUGAUUUGGCCCUCCAUGUAAUUCGCGUGUCGCGAUUUCGCCCAUUAUUUUGCUUAAAUUUCAUUUAUUUAUUGUUAUUUUAGUUUUUUUUAACUAUUUGUUUUUUUUUUGCAAUUCGUUUUUUUUAAUUUUAUUUUCUCAUCUUCCUCAUCAUCAUCAUUAUUAUUAUUAUUAUUAUUAUUUUAUUAUGUACAUACAAACAUUUUUUAUAAUAUAUAUACUUUUAUAUUUUUAAUUUCAAAAACUUGUUUUUACUUUUGUAAAUAUGUACACGUAUACUUGUACAUGUUUUCUUCAUAGUUUUUUUUAAAUAUUUUUUAAAUUAAUUAAUUUAAUUAUUAUCAUUUUUUGUAUAUAUGUAAUUAUCGUUUUUUAUAAUCUAUAUAUGUAUAUAAUUAUUUUUUUAUAUAUAUGUACAUAUUAUUAUUUUUUCAAUUAAUAUUUUUCUCAUAUUUAUAUAUAUACACAUAUUUAUUUUAUUCAAUUUUGAUAAUGUAGAUAUUAUUUAAUUAUUUUUAAUCUAUAGAUAUUUUAUAUGUACAUGUAUACAUAUUAUUUUUUUUCUAAUGAAUGUUCUUUUAUAUUUAUAUAUAUACAUGUAUAUAUCUAUUUUUAUUUAUUUAUUUUUGAAAAUGUUUAACUACCUAUUUAUUUUUUUACACAAAUUUUAUUAUAUAUAUUUAUAUAUUUCUUUUUAUAAAUGCAUUAUAUUUUGUAUGAAUCUUAUAGUCUAUAUCUUCAUAUAAAUCCAUGUAUGUCUUGUAUUCUCCAUAACUUCAAUGUACUUAUUAUAAGCACACUUUAUAUCCUUUUAUUUUUUUUUAUAUUUUAUAGUUUUGUUUAUGUCUUUCACUUGUUUAUUUAUUUAUUAUUGCAUUGUAUAUUUAAUGUAACAUCACAUCAUUUUUUUACUCGAUUUUAAACUUUUCAAAAUUGAGAUAGUGCUUGUAUUUAGGAUUUUCAAGGAAAUUGAGUCCUAACGUAUUGGGUUCCGAUUUUCUUCGUUAAAUCUAACAAUCGAGCAUUUCUCUUUAAUUAAAAAAAUAAGAACUCAUUAUUGGGAAUUCAACACGUGUCCUAACGUAUUGGAUGUGACGUAUUGAUUUCUCGAAAUGAAGAUUUUUUAAAAAUCAUAAAGGAAAUAUUCCGAGUUUGGGAUUUUAAAGGAAUUGUGCCCUAACGUAUUGGGUGUGAUUUCUUAAAUCUUGGAUAAGCGGACUUUCUUUUAAAGUAAAGGAAAUAUUCCGAGUUUGGGAUUCUAAAGGAAUAGUGCCCUAACGUAUUGGGUGUGAUUUCUUAAAUCUUGGAUAAAUGGAUGUUCUUUUACAGUUUUAUUGUAUAAGUAUUUUGGCCCAAUUCAUUUUUGGGGGAAAAUUAGAAUGUUGUGCCCUAACGCAUUGGGUGUGGUAUCUUCUUUCUCUGAAAUAAUAAGGGUCUUAAUACGUAGCCUUUUAAGUUUUGCUAAGGAUUACGUUUUUCCAAAUUCUCGACCUUAAGACACUAAUUAAUUAACUAGGUACCAAUUUUGGGCGUUACGAGGGUGCUAAUCCUUCCUCGUACGUAACUGACUCCCGGAUCCGUUUUUUUAAAACUCGUAGACCAAAGCCGUUUUUUAGGUGAUCCAAUCUCACCUCAAUAAAAGAUUGGUGGCGACUCCCAAAUUUUCAUUUUUUUUAGAGUCGACAACCUAAAACUUUUUUUUGUUUUCAAUAAAAUGGUUUCGACAGCUUGGCGACUCCACUGGGGACUUUUUUAAAAAAAAAUAAGAGAGUAGAGCCACAAAGUUAAUUAAUUUUUGUCUUAUAGUCGAAAAAAUUAAAAUUCGUUUUAAAAAUCCUCUUGCAUUUAUGCUUAAUUGAUUUAAGUACUUUAAAUUAUUUUGCAUUAUACAUACUGGAUAAUUUUACCCUUUAAGUGGGAGCGAGAAACUAGUCCUUCGUGAGGUUUUCACCUCCGUGCAGGGUAGUGGACCGCUUUCGGGAUACAUCCGUACCUAUGUCUUCGUGAGAUUUUCAUCUCCGUGCAGCCAUAGGGAAAUGUAUUCCCCUGAACUGAACUUGGUCCAUAUGAGCCUAUAAUGGGUGAGGAUUGAUGAAUCUGCUAGUUCGGGUACCUUUACUCUAGAAGCCAAACUUCAUAUAAUGAACCUUAGGAAUCCACCCUAGGUAGAAUUAUACUAAACCCUAGUAGAUAUCCAAUUAGGGAUCUUUACUGUUUCUUGAUUAUAUCUUGUUUUUUCUAUGUUAUACUGACUUUUGGUGUUUUAUUUGCAUGACAUGGCAUUUCAUUUCAUGCAUUGCAUUGUUUCAUAUGCAUUAAUAAAUAUAUUAAGGGAUUCUAAUUAAUCUAAAUUACUCAUCAGUUAAUUUGGAAACCAAUCAAGCUAUCAAACACUGCUACGGAACUCGAUCCAAAACUAGAGACAUGGACCAAAGGCUAGAACAGUUCCAGAAAGAAAUGCAAGAGCAAAUGAAUGAGCAAUUAGAAAAGAUUUAACAAAAGAUGAUGGAAAAGAUAAUGGAAUCUCAAGGGAGUAUGAUGGCUAAGUUGACUCAGUUAUUGGCUGGAGGAGUUGACAAAGGAAAUGGAUUGGUGCUCAACAAUGAAGAAGGUGACAAUGAGGGACUUGUCUAUCCUCCGGACUUUACACCCCAACAAGUUGAGAUAUACCCGCGUAGGUCCUCUGUUACCAUUAAUCCUCUGGGUGACGUUGUAACGCAAAUGAAUUUCCAGGCGGGAUCAGACUCUAACCCCGAAGCCAACUUUGUUAAUCUUGCUAUCCCUGAUUUCGAUGAGACGGCUGGAAAAGAGAAAAUGAAUGAUGAAUUGCCAAAACAGCUAGAGGAAAAGUACAAGUGGCUGGAGGAAAAACUUAGAGCGAUGGAAAGUACUAAGGGCUACCAUGGAAUUGACGCUAAAGAAUUGAGCUUGGUUCCGGAUUUAGUGCUCCCUUACAAAUUCAAAAUGCCAGAGUUUGAGAAAUAUAAUGGAACCAGUAGCCCCGAAGCUCAUAUUACCAUGUUCUGCAGACGAAUGACCGGUUAUGUCAAUAAUGACCAACUCUUGAUUCAUUGCUUCCAGGAUAGCCUCGCAGGGGCAGCAUUCAAGUGGUACAAUCGAUUGAAUCGUACCCAUAUUAACUCAUGGAGAGAUUUGGCACAGGCGUUUAUAAAGCAGUACAGCCAUGUGACUGACAUGGUACCUGAUAGAAUUAUUCUGUAAAAUAUGGAGAAGAAGCCUAGUGAAAGUUUCAGGCAGUACACACAGAGAUGGAGGGAGGUUGCUGUCCAAGUUCAGCCAUAUCUGCUAGAAAGAGAGAUGACGAUGCUUUUUGUCAACACAUUGAAGGCACCAUUCAUCACUCAUAUGUUAGGGAGUGCAACAAAAAGCUUUUUUGACAUAAUCAUGAAUGGUGAAAUGAUUGAAAGUGCCAUAAGGAGCGGAAAGAUUGAUGCUGGAGGAAAUAACAGAAGGCAAGCCUCAAAAGAAAAGGGAAAUGAGGUGCACAGUGUGAAUACGUACGGCAAAUCGAUUGCUAAUCAACAGGGUUCAUCAAGACAAGAAUUAGGUGUGAAGCCAGGUACUGAAAAGCUCCAGUUCACGCCAAUUCCAAUGUCGUACAAUGAGCUGUAUCAAAGCUUAUUCAAUGCGCAUGUUGUUGCUCCUUUACAUGUGAAGCCUCCACAGCCCCCGUAUCCCAAAUGGUAUGAUGCAAGUGCACAAUGUGAUUAUCAUGCAGGCAUUACGGGGUAUUCUAUAGAAAAUUGCAUUACCUUCAAAAAGCUAGUUGAAAAAUUUAUCAACAUGGGUAUUGUCAAGAUAGAUGGUUCAUCUAGUACCCAGUCAUGAUUGAAUAUGAAGGGGUGUUGAGAAGUGUUCACGAUGAAACAACUGAAGAAGAGACAUUGUCAGAUUUUUGCCCUUAUAGACUUGGGAGUGUUUUAAAUAAUUAGACUGCAGAAGAAGCCCCUGUAAUAUUUAGAGAUUACUCAGAGUAAUGUUUAAAACACACUUGUUGCCUUCAGCCUAGAGGCAAUAAGAAUUCCUUUAUGAAAUAGACCCAUGUCUGAACGUUGUUAUUCUAAUAAAAUACAUCUUUGCAUUCAUUUUUUUAAGCCAAUAUUCUUUCAUUCUUUUUCGAAUAAUUAUACUUUCAUUCUUUCGGAUCUUCUUCCAUAUUAUUCUAUUCAUUCAUAAUUGUACAAAUGAUUAUUCAUACAUUCUUUUGUAUAUUCUUUGGUACCUACUAUAGGUCCUUAGAUAUCAACGACAUGAGUGAUGCUGAUACGGACUCAGAAGUUUCUUUUGAGUGAGAUCUGUGUUUAGAGGGAUCUCAUAACUUUAAAGAUGACAUAGAUUGUAGCCUAUUUUCAGACUUGUUGAGGAUGGUAGAACAGGAAUGAAAUCUUACUUCAUGAGGGGACAGUGAAGAUUGUGACCUUAAGAUAGCGUGCAUAACCGAAGAAAUGAAACAUGGCCUUGUUGAGUUACUUCAAAGAGUUUAAAGAUGUCUUCAUAUGUUCAUAUCAGGAUAUGCUUGAGUAAGCAUCGAUAUUGUAAUCGGAAAAACAAUACGAUAUCAAGAAUUUAUAGUAUGUUCAAGAUUAACAUCAUGAACGAUGCAUUUAGAAUUCUUUGCCGGGGCAAUGCCUUCUUCUUUGGCUCAUCAGGGUUUAGCCCGUCGAAGUCAAGUUGCCAUUUCUCUGUUGUUGGAUUUCAUCCUAAUUGAAGAGGAAGAUCCAAAAUUUUCGUCAUAGUUAAAUUUUGCCCCAAAAAAAAACUCUAUGAAAGAAAUUUGAUCACAAAGAAGAUCUUGCAUUGGUUCUGAUUGAAAGGGAUAAUGAGGACUUGUCUAAUCCUAUGAGUUCAGAUUCAAAAAGAAAUGAUGAAAGUGAAAGAAAAAGAAAAGAAAAUGGAGAGGCCAAAGUGAAAACCGGCAAAGGGCACUUUGAGACCAAAGGGGAUUUGAGUUGAAAACCCGAAAAGGGCAGCUCAAAUAUUGAUCAGAAUCGGGCACGGGGUGAUUAGAGCAACUCAAAGUUUAAUCAGAUUGGGGCAUGUGGUGAUCUUGUUAUACCUGAAUUAUCAGGAAAAGGUAGGCAACAUCUUGGGGCAUUGGCAGAGUACUGUGGAUCUCCUAAACACAUGUCAAACUCAGAAGGAUCUUUAAAAAGUUUGUACAAAGAAGUUCAAGCUGCAAUAUCUAGGGCACCCAAUAUUCAUACUGAAUUUUUUUAUUCUUGGAAUACUUCAUUCUUUUCCAAGAUACAUGUUCCCAAUCAAUUUCUUUGCUAUCCUUGUUUACUAUUUUUGAUAAUCUAUUCUUUUCGAGCUAUGCUCAGAACCAAUUGUAUUCUCAUCCAUUGUUAUACCCUUUUUGCAAGUAUGUUGCAUUAGAAUAAUGAUUAAUGGACUAAUAAAACUUUCACGAAGGAAGUUUUGCAUAUUACUCUAGAAGUUUCUAAAUCAUACAGGAGCCUGAAACAGGACUAUUGUUUAGAAUGCACCAAGUUUUUAAAGGUUGGAAAUCUGAAAAGGAAGAGUCUAAACUAGGACUUUCUCUUUGGAUUUUGUUGUCAAAAACAUUGGAUGUUGUGUUGAUGACAAAGCCUAAAUCAACAAGCAAGUAAUGAUCACCAGGCAGUAGAAAGAGGUUACCUCGAGAAAGAGAGCCUUCAUUUGUGCAUGAGCUUUUGGUACGACACAUUGGGAAUGGUGUAAAAGACUAGAAAUAUUUAGAUCCUGUAUCCUUGAAUUGUGAUAGGAGAGGAUUGAAGAAAAGCCAUAUACUCUUGGGUUAUAGUGGGAGAACAAUGGUAUGAAUUUUUGCACCCUAAUGGAUUAAACUUGGAGGUUCACAAUGGGGGGGGGGCCGCCUGGCUAAAUGAUUCUUCAAAGCCAGUCAAGUAAGAAGGCGUUGUAGCACGUCAGUCACAAAGCUUUAAUAAACUUCGAGUGAUGACAACCUAAGUGGGAUCAUUCUCGAAAAAAUAAAUUUGCAUUCAUGCAAACACCAUUCACUCAUGUCUAGUUAGGAGCAUUUGAUGCAUUUUGAUCAUGCCAUCCUAAUCAUUAGGCAUAAUUAGGUUCAUUAUACAGGUCAUGUUCCACAGAGAACAGAUCAGUGAAAGAGUAGAUCUUGCCUUCCUGCAUUGACGGUGAAACAGAUCGAAAAUAAAGCAUUGCCUUCCUCGGUUGUAGUGGAGCAAGUUAAAGAUAGCAAAUCUUGCCUUCCUGCAUUGACAGCGAAGCAGAUCGAAGGUGGCAGAUUUUACUUCCCUGUGGUUAUAGUGGAGUAUAUUGAAGCUAGUAAUUCUACUUCCCUGGGCAACAGUGGAAUAGAUUGAAGAUUUCAGAUCUUAUCUCCCUAAGCAGUAGUGGAGCAGAUCGAAAAUGGCGGAUUUUACCUUCCUGUGGUUAUAGUGGAGUACAUUGAAGCCAGUAAUUCUACUUCCCUGGGCAACAGUGGAAUAGAUUGAAGAUUUCAGAUCUUAUCUCCCUAAGCAGUAGUGGAGCAGAUCGAAGAUGGCGGAUUUUACCUCCCUGUGGUUAUAGUGGAGUACAUUGAAGCUAGUAAUUCUACUUCCCUGGGCAACAGUGGAAUAGAUUGAAGAUUUUAGAUCUUAUCUCCCUAAGUAGUAGUGGAGCAGAUCGAAGAUGGCGGAUUUUACCUCCCUGUUGUUACAGUGGAGUACAUUGAAGCCAGUAAUUCUACUUCCCUGGGCAACAGUGGAAUAGAUUGAAGAUUUCAGAUCUUAUCUCCCUAAGCAGUAGUGGAGUAGAUCAAAGAUGGUGGAUUUUACCUCCCUGUGGUUACAGUGGAGUACAUUGAAGCCAGUAAUCCUAUCUCCCUGGUCAGCAGUGGAAUAGGUCGAAGAUUGUAAGUCUUAUCUCCCUGCAGUUGCAGUGGAAUAGAUUGAAGCACUAGCUCCUAUACUUCUGAAGAUGCAGUAGGAAGGAAUGAGGCUACUUGAAGAAGAAGAGUUUUAUGUUCCAGCAAGACCGGGCAAAAUUGGGCAUUUUUAAAGUCUUUGCUCCGUUCUCGUUACACGAUAACGGGCAAAGAGGGGCAGCUGUAAUACCCUAUUUUUGGCCCGGGUCUAAAGGGCCCAAAUUACAACGGGCCUAUGUAGCCCAAAACCCGAAAUAAGCAGAGGCCUAAAGCAAUGGCCCAACACAAUAUCAGAAACCCUAGGGUUUCUGGGAUGAGUCUUGCGCCGCAUCCACCUAGCCUUGCCCUCCGAAUUUCAGCCGAAUCUUCACCUGCAUAUCAAAUCAGCACAAAAAAAAGGAAGCAAAACAAUAAUGGAAAGGAAUCAAAGGAUUGAGAAUCAAAUCAAUGUAAUGGAAAGAAAUCAAAAGAUUGAGAAUAAAAUCAAUGUAAACAAGAUUUUAUUUCUAUAUUUUUUUAUUAUUAUGGCUAUAUAAAGCCGUUGAAACAUUGUAAAAUGAGGGGACUGAAAAGAGAGAGAAGGAAAAUUUUCUUUUUGAAUACAAAGGUUUUUUUCUCUCUAUAUUACCUUUAGGAUUAUCGUUCUUUUAUUUUUCAUUUAUAUAUAGAUGUAUAUAUAUUUUUAGUUUCUUUAUCUCUUUAUUUAUUUUUGCUUAAAAUAUAAAGAAAGGAGGAAAGGGCUUACUCCUCAAGUUGGAAUCGCCGGAUUUGUGCCGUCUCCGUCGCAAUCGGAGCAUCAGCAAGAGUGAACGGUGGCAUCAGGGGGCUGGGGUUAAAAACCCUAGUAGAGAGCCUUUGUUUUUUUUUGUUUUUUUUCUAUGCUGCAAACAAUGUUUUUUUCUAAAAAAAAAACUGUUUUAAAUCAUGCUAGCGAAACAACACCGUUUUGGGGAGGCGGAUUAUUUCCGAUUUGGCCCUCCAUGUAAUUCGCGUGUCGCGAUUUCGCCCAUUAUUUUGCUUAAAUUUCAUUUAUUUCUUGUUAUUUUAGUUUUUUUUAACUAUUUGUUUUUUUUUGCAAUUCGUUUUUUUUAAUUUUAUUUUCUCAUCUUCCUCAUCAUCAUCAUUAUUAUUAUUAUUAUUAUUAUUAUUAUUAUUAUUAUUAUUAUUAUUAUUAUUAUUAUGUACAUACAAACAUUUUUUAUAAUAUAUAUACUUUUAUAUUUUUAAUUUCAAAAACUUGUUUUUACUUUUGUAAAUAUGUACACGUAUACUUGUACAUGUUUUCUUCAUAGUUUUUUUUAAAUAUUUUUUAAAUUAAUUAAUUUAAUUAUUAUCAUUUUUUGUAUAUAUGUAAUUAUCGUUUUUUAUAAUCUAUAUAUGUAUAUAAUUAUUUUUUUAUAUAUAUGUACAUAUUAUUAUUUUUUCAAUUAAUAUUUUUCUCAUAUUUAUAUAUAUACACAUAUUUAUUUUAUUCAAUUUUGAUAAUGUAGAUAUUAUUUAAUUAUUUUUAAUCUAUAGAUAUUUUAUAUGUACAUGUAUACAUAUUAUUUUUUUUCUAAUGAAUGUUCUUUUAUAUUUAUAUAUAUACAUGUAUAUAUCUAUUUUUAUUUAUUUAUUUUUGAAAAUGUUUAACUACCUAUUUAUUUUUUUACACAAAUUUUAUUAUAUAUAUUUAUAUAUUUCUUUUUAUAAAUGCAUUAUAUUUUGUAUGAAUCUUAUAGUCUAUAUCUUCAUAUAAAUCCAUGUAUGUCUUGUAUUCUCCAUAACUUCAAUGUACUUAUUAUAAGGACACUUUAUAUCCUUUUAUUUUUUUUUAUAUUUUAUAGUUUUGUUUAUGUCUUUCACUUGUUUAUUUAUUUAUUAUUGCAUUGUAUAUUUAAUAUAACAUCACAUCAUUUUUUUACUCGAUUUUAAACUUUUCAAAAUUGAGAUAGUGCUUGUAUUUAGGAUUUUCAAGGAAAUUGAGUCCUAACGUAUUGGGUUCCGAUUUUCUUCGUUAAAUCUAACAAUCGAGCAUUUCUCUUUAAUUAAAAAGAUAAGAACUCAUUAUUGGGAAUUCAACAUGUUGUGUCCUAAAGUAUUGGAUGUGACGUAUUGAUUUCUCGAAAUGAAGAUUUUUUAAAAAUCAUAAAGGAAAUAUUCCGAGUUUGGGAUUUUAAAGGAAUUAUGCCCUAACGUAUUGGGUGUGAUUUCUUAAAUCUUGGAUAAGCGGACUUUCUUUUAAAGUAAAGGAAAUAUUCCGAGUUUGGGAUUCUAAAGGAAUAGUGCCCUAACGUAUUGGGUGUGGUAUCUUCUUUCUCUGAAAUAAUAAGGGUCUUAAUACGUAGCCUUUUAAGUUUUGCUAAGGAUUACGUUUUUCCAAAUUCUCGACCUUAAGACACUAAUUAAUUAACUAGGUACCAAUUUUGGGCGUUACAAGGGUGCUAAUCCUUCCUCGUACGUAACUGACUCCAGGAUCCGUUUUUCUAAAACUCGUAGACCAAAGCCGUUUUUUAGGUGAUCCAAUCACACCUCAAUAAAAGAUUGGUGGCGACUCCCAAAUUUUCAUUUUUUUAGAGUCGACAACCUAAAACUUUUUUUUGUUUUCAAUAAAAUGGUUUCGACAUAGUGUUCCAAAUUAAUGUUUCAAUGUAAACAACAAAGGCAUCAUAGAAUAUUACUGCUAUUCCAAAUUAACCUUUUUGUAGUCAAGAUGAUAAUGAACUCAUUUCGCUCGUCUUACGUCUAGAUUGUAUUUGAUGGUUAGCAUAUUAGUUUUGUUAAGUUAACUUAAAUGUUUGAAAUGUUAAAAUUGAACGUAAUUACAUGAUUAAUCGCAUGGAAAAGAUGUUAAUUGAAGCAUGUUAUUUACAUUAAAGGUGUGAUUAAUAUGGAGAUUGCACAAAUUACUUACUUGUACUAAUUGUUAAAUUGAAUUGAGUUGUAAAUAUAGUGUGAAUUUUUAUUCCUUUACUUAUAGAUAUUUGAAUGAGUAUGUGAGUUAGAUGUAUUUCUUUUCAUUUAAGUAUGAUUUGAAAUGAAUGAUUUAUGGCUAAGAUUACAACACAACAACUUACUAUAUUUUCUAGCUAGUACUAGUAGUAUUUGUAUACAAAAAUUGGAAGUGCAUAAAACCUAUUCUGUAUAAAAGAUAGAAAAGUAAAUGUACUUGAAAAUCUUUUUGGAGAAAUUAUUUUAUUUGCAUGUCCCUUGUAAUUGGGUUCCAUAUAAGAUACCUUAUAAAUUUAUGGAAUGAUUAUCCUCUCAACUUAAAAUAUUUAAAGUUGUGGGAGCAUCUAGCUAAACUUAAGAAAAAGGAUUUUUUUUCCUGAUUGCAUGAGUUAUUUUGAACAUAGCGUUGCAUUUAUGUUGAAAAGUCACAUGCUACAUCUUUAUUUUCAAUACUAGUUAUGAAUAAGAUUUUUCUUGCUUCUAAAUUUGAUAUGAAAGAUAUGAGUAAAACAACAUAUUAUAUUAAGUGUUAAAUUUAUAGGAAAAGAUGAUAAUAUAAUGUUAUUACAAAAAAUUUAUAUUAAGAAAUUUUUAAAGAAGUUUGAACAGUGUAAAUUUAAACUUGUGAGUACUCUUUAAGAUGCUAAUACUUAAUUAAAGAAAAUAGGGGUAAACCUUAUUGCUCAAUCUAAGUAUACAUAGAUUAUUGGGAGUCUGAUGCAUUUAAUACAAUUUUCUUGACCCAAUAUAGCAUAUGUUGUAUGUAAAUUGAGCAGAUAUACACAUAACUCAAAAUCAUCAGCAUUGGGUUGCUAUAGUUAGACUGAUGAAAUACUUGAAAAGUACUAUGAUUUAUGUUAUUUUCUUUAGUGGAAUUUUCGUUGUGUUAGAAGGUUAUAGUGACACUAACUAGAUUUUAUGUUUAGAUAAGACAAAAUCCACUAGUGGUUAUAUGUUCACGCUCAGCGAUGGUGCAACUACUUGAAAAGCAACCAAAUAAACUCUUAUAGCUAAAUCGAGUUAGAAUUUAGUUGGUUAGUAAUGAAGUUUUGUGGUGGGAAAACUUAGAUGGUAAAGAAUAAAACUUUUAAUGGUAAAAGUAGAUAAAUUCGUCUAAGAUAUAGUGUGAUAAAAUAACUUCAAAAAGAUGGGAUCGUAUAUAUAAGUCUGAAGUAAAGUUGGUCAAUUCUCUAACUAAACCUUUAAGAAGAACAUUAAAAAAAAAACAUCGUGGGUAAUGAGAUUACUAUCAACUUGAGAUAUCAAUACUAAUGGUAACCUGACAUAUGUGAUUGGUAAUCCCAUGAAUUAUGUUUGUAUGGGUAAUAACUAGUUAUUAGUUGAUUCAUUGAACACUAUAAGUUAUGUCUUUCCUAUGCUUUAAGUAGUGCUAAAAUUACAAAGAAAAUAAGAUAAAAACUCUUAAUCAAAUCCAUAUUCUUUAUAGAUGAUGUAUUAAUUUAGGGUGCUCACUUGAUGAAUUAAUUUAUAUGAAUGUAUAAUAAUGCUGCUUCUACAAGAUUUGUAGUGAAAUCUCUAGAGUACAGAUGAAUUAUACAUAAACACACUUCAAAUUUCAGUUUCUUCGUUGAUUCAAAUUUUCUAUUUGAUGUUGCUUUUGUUUUUGUAAGAGGUCCUAUGACCUCCUUUUGAAUGUGCCCUGUGCAAUUUGAAAUGAAUCGAUAUUUGAGAAAAAAAAAGGUCAUCAAUAUUCCAAUAUCAUGCAUAACUGUAGCCCCUAAGUGACUCAACCAAUACAUGGAGAUAGUUGGAGGCCUAAGCUUAUGGGGACCCUAUCCCAACCUGCUUUUAUUUGCUGCCGUUCACUGCCAUUUAAACACUUGAUUUGUUGUUAAUAAAUUUCAAGUGGCCAUACAAAAUUCUGUAUUCAGAAGAACCAUGCGCAAGCAUUUUCACCAAAUUUUUACAAAAAAUAAUGAACCACUUGAUUAAUUAAUGAACCACUUAGCUUGGGGUUACCUGUUAUGCCUCUUCGGUGGUCUUCUAUUGCAACAAGCUCUUUUUUGUCUUUUCUUUCUCUCAACGCAACCUAGCACACAUUGGUUGAAAUGUGAUAACAUACAUCAACAAAUAUAGUUUUAAUUGGUAGUUGUGAGGAUGAAGAAUUCCAGCUUCAUUUGUUGCAUAUUUUUAGCUAUGCUUCUAUUGGCAUCAUCGAGUACAUUUUUUUAACCCUUGUAUUUAGGGAUUGCAAUGUUGUGGAAUAAGGAAUAGAUUGCCAUGUCCGUAACCGUUUCACCCACACUCUUGUAUGAAUGUUGAAAUCAUCCAUCCCAUCCUAGUUAUUUUCAUAAUCAUUUCAUACACUAAUACAUUGCUUCACUUUACUUUUUUUUUAAUGAUUUUUCAAUAUAAUAUAAAGAAAUAUAUAUUUAUGUUUUAGUUAUGUACAUAAUGGUAUAGUAUGAUAUGUGCACGCCUUUUUUCUUUUAAAAAAAACUCUCUAUUUGAAGUAGAUGGAUGUAAAAUACUCGAAUUUUAUCAUCUCUGAAAUAAGAUUUUUUUUUUUGGAAGGAAUGAAUGAAAUAGCAGGACAGGCGAGGGAAUUGUUGGUGGGAAAGAGUGGCGGGAGGUGCAUUUAAGUGAUGGACCCAAAGGGAUGUAAUCUAGUUUCUUGCAAACAGCAAUACCUUCAACUCAAGAAUGGGAAUGAAGUUUGCUUGGCUAAUGUCAAACAGGGUUAUCAAUGUGUUUGUUACAUCAAUUGCUAACUGGAACUUGAUUUGUGUUUAUUAGAAUGCAUCAAAUAAUCCUUUUCGUUUAUUUUGCUUUUAUCUUUCAUGCUUCCUUUGCAAAUUGUUUGCACAACAGAUCAUUUUGAACAUGAUACCAAGCAAAAUAAUUAUAACAUAAUACAACAUGAAAAUAUAUAUAAACAUAAAGCAAACACUAAAUUAUAUCAAAAUUUACAUCAUAAUGAUACAAAGUUUGCAUAAAUAUACACAAGAAAAGUAACGUGAAUAACCGUUUACCAUAUAAACGAUGUCAUGAUGAGACGAGAACGACACUGUAGAUUUGCUGAAUGCUACUUUUUAAGGAUGACCAUAUGAACCACCAGAGCCAAGCCCCGAAUUCCAUCUACAAGGUACUUCCCCGAGCAUAAAUGUAAGAUUUUGCAGAACAUAAAUAGAGAGCUAAUCCCAUGGCACUAAGUGCAGCCAACAGCCAAUAGAAGUAAUCAAGAUGUGCCCUAUUAAGGUUAUUUGCAAACCAGCUAUCUUGGCCACCCUCACCAGUCAUCUUCUCAAUGGCUGAGAUGAAAAAGCUACUCAAAAAGCUUCCAACACCAAAGAUGCUAAGGUAGAGUGCAAGGCCGACACUCCUUAAUUCCUUCGGCACCUGAUGAUAAAAAAAAUUCUUAAAGACCAACCAUCGCAAACACAUCAGACAAUCCAGACAGUAUGUACUGAGGGAGCAGCCACCAGAUGCUCAUUGGACCUGUUACAUUUGGCUUGUCUACUAACCCACAUUCUUCAGCAGUUUUAAGCCUCCUCAUCUCUACUAAAAUAGCAAUUAACAUUGAUAUGGCAGAUAGAAGCAUUCUAGUUUCGAUUCUUUGCAGCAUUGUAAUUCCAGUCGGUUUCCUAGUCAAGGCUCUUGCUAAAGGAACAAAAAUGCGGUCAUAUAUAGAAAUGAAGACCAUGAUUGUAAGGCUAAUAAAUUACAGAAGUGAAGCAGCAGGUAUUUUAAACCCUGCUGUUAUUGAUCUGUCCAUGGUAGCCCCUUGCUUGGUAAAGAAAGUUAUCAUUUGCGCAUAGACGAUGGCAUAAAACAAGCUUGCAACCCAUAUUGGUGCAAGCCUUAUAACUGUCUUCGCUUUUUCAACCUCUCCGGUGCUACACACCUUUCCUUGUUCUUUUGAACCAUCAGGAGCAAGCAAAGCUUUAUUGAGGAACCUACACGUUACAAAAACCAUAUCGUCAUUUAAGAGAUGUCUGUAACGGAAAUAUGUAAACAGGAACAUUGUUUUCAUAAACCAUAUCCUAAUUCUCUCGUAUGCAAAAAUAUCUCACUUACUUGAAUUGCUUGGAACUUUCAGUUGGAAGAGUUCCUCGUGCCUCUUCCUCUGCAGCAAUUGCUGAAGAUGUUGUUUUCCAAUUCCUAACAGCCAAAAUGAACACUCGACCAAUUCUCAGAAAUGGGUUUUCUUCAUCACCUUUGAUACUAUAUAUGUAAGUUGUGGUUCCAAGCUCAAAAACAAGCAGACCGACAACCAUUACAAUAGCGGGUAUCCCAAAUCCAAGAGUCCAACUAAGAUUGUCUUGGAUGUAGGUUAAAAUCCAAAGGGUUAUGAAGGUGCCAGCACAUAUACUAAAAUACCACCAAUUAAAGAAUGAACUUUGGGCUUUGCACUCCUCUGGGUCUUGUCUAUCAAACUGAUCUACACCAAAAGCUUGAACCCAUGGCUUGUGCCCACCUUGGCCAAAUGCUACUAGAUACAGUGAGAAGAAGAAUAGUGUGACUUGAAAUUGAGCAGAAGAACUUAAUAUGAUAUUAUCUGUACUUUGGUCACUAGAAUUGCUGACAGAAGGAAGUGCGUCUAACAGACUCAACAAGCCUAGACCUUGUUAAAUCAUUCCACAUCAAGUCAGCAUAGAAAAUGUCUAGCAAGUAAUCUAAUCAAUUACUGGAACAAUUAAAAUAAUCUUAAACACCAAAUUCCAGGCAUUAUGAACUCUCUUAACAAAAGAAAGGGAAAUUGUUUUACCAAGAUGUAAAGAAGGAAAGCAAGAAUGAUGGUGCGGUAUUGGCCAAGAAAAGAAUCAGCAAUGAAAGCACCCAAGAGUGGCAGAAGUGACGACGCCCCAGACCAGGCGUUGACUUGAGUGGCGGCGACGGCAGUGGAUUCGCCGAGAGGCCCCGUCAAGAAAGUUAUGAGGUUUGAAGAGAUGCCAUAAUUAGCAAACCUCUCAGCAAUUUCAACAACAAUGAUGAAAGAAGCGUAUCUCCAGCCGCCGGAGUUAGAGCGGUGGACGGGACGGCCUUUGUAGUAAAGGGAUGCGUCAUCUAAAAGUGGAGUUUGAGCAGUGGAGAGAUUGGAGAUCGCCAUUGCUUUUGCAAAGGCCUUGCAAUUUGGAUGUACUUAUCUCCAUCAGCAGUAAAAGACAAACAGAUUCAUGUCGGAUUCGCUCUGUGCUUUUGCUAACGUUAGUAAAUAAGAAUAAUGUCAAAUCUUUUUUUCUACCUUAAACACAAAGAACAAGGAAAAGGAAAGUUAAAAUAUCUGGUUGAUUUUUGAAAAUCUUUUUAGAUUUAAUUCUGUAAUAAAAUUUAUAAAAUUAAUUACUAUUUCUUUACUCUAAUUAAGACAAUUAUUCAAAUUAAUCACUAUUUUCUAUAAUUUAGUUGUUUAAUGUGAUGCUUGUAUUUACUAAAAAAUAUAGGAAAAGCAAUCGAAUUAUAUGGUUUAUAUCUUAGACGGGUCCAUAAAUUUUAAUAGCUUAUUUAAUUAAGUCCUUAUGUUUUGUUUUCACUUAUAUAAAAUCCCUAUUCUUUAUUUCGCUUAUAAAAACCUUUAAUUUUAAUUAGUUUGUUUUUUUUAUGACUUUAACAUUAAAUUGACAAAAUUACAUGUAAAUCAUUUGUUUAAUUGGAUAAACACAUAAGUUAAAAAAAAAUUUACUUUAUCACAAGUCUAUUGUUUGUAAGAAAUUUAAUAUACCACAAAAUGUAUCAUAUUAAAAGGUUUUUUUUUUUUUUUAUACUUGUGUGUUUUUGGUUGAGGCAAUAAAUAAUUUUCAUGUCAUUUUUAAUCAAACAAUGCGAAUUAAUUAAAACUAAGGUCUAUUGCGAGUAUAUAAUAAAGAGUGUCGCUUAUUUAGGUAAAAAAAUAAAUUAACAAUCUUUUUGAAAAGUGCGAUAAAAAAAUAUUUUUAAGAAGUUUAAUUUAAGAUUUGAAUGUUUAGCAUUGCUGUUAAAAAGUACUUCUGAGUAAUAAAAUAUCCAUUUUAGACAUGUUAUUAUCAAGUAACAAAAAUGCAUUUAAAUAAUGUUCAAAUUAGUUAAUGUUAUUAUAUUUUAGUAAGAAUAUAAAAGAAUUUAUUAUAAGUUGUUGUUAAUAUUUAAUAUAUGAAAUAUAAAAUUUAAAUAUUUUUAAGCAAUAAAUAUUAAUUAUUUAUAAAAUUUAAUUAGAAUAUAUAACUAUAUUUUAAAUAUUUAAAUAUAACCAUUAAAUAUUUUAAUUAGAUAUUAACACAUUUGUAUUAUUUUAAAAAAUAUUUUUUUAUUUUUAAUUAAUGAUUUUUACACAGUUGUAAUUAAGCACCAAUAAAAAAAGAAAAAUAUUAUGUUAUUGGGGGGUUAAAAAAGUAAUUAAACACCAAAAGUGCUUUUGGCUUUUGGGGAGGAAAAGCUAAAAACUUUAACUUAUCUCUCUAGGGCCAGUUCUUCAUUGCUUAGAAAAAGCACUUCUGAUUUCAAAAGCACUUUUGAAAGAAAAGCUGUGAAGAAAAGUUGCUUUGGUUAAAAUUUUUAGCUUUACAGAAGUGCUUUUCAAAAGCACUUCUGAAAAGGAGCUGAAAAGGAGAAGCUAAAAAUUUUAGCUUUUCUUCUCUCAAAAGCACUUUUGGUGCUUAAUUACUUUUUCACCCCUCCAAUAACAUAGUAUUUUUCUCUUUUUUUCUUGGUACUUAAUUACAAUUGUGUUAAAAUCAUUAAUUAAAAAUAAAAAAUUUUAAAAUACUAAUUACAAAUAUUUAAUGGUUAUAUUUAAAUAUUUAAAAUAUAGUUUAUAUAUUCUAAUUAAAUUUUAUAAAUAAUUAAUAUUUAUUGCUUAAAAAUAUUUAAAAUUUAUAUUUCAUAUAUUAAAAUAUUAACAACAAGUUAUAAUAUUUUUUUAUAUUCUUACUAAAAUAUAAUAAUAUUAACUAAUUUAAAUAUUAUUUAAAUGCAUAUUUGUUACUUAAUAACAUGUCUAAAAUAGACAUUUUAUUUCUCAAAAAUACUUUUUGACAGCAAAUCUAAACACUCAAAUUUUAAACCAAACUUUUCAAAAGCACGUGCUUUUGAGAAAUUUGAGUGUUUGUUAUUGUUGUCAAAAAGUACUUUUGAGAAAUAAAAUGUCCAUUUUAGACAUGAGUUUAUAAAGUAACAAAUAUGUAUUUAAAUAAAAUUCAAAUUAGUUAAUAUUAUGAUAUUUUAGCAAAAAUAUAAAAAAUAAUUUAUUAUAACUUAUUGUUAAUAUUUUAAUAUAUAAUAUUAAUUUUAAAUAUUUCUAAGUAAUUAAUGUUAAUUAUUUAUUAAAUUUAAUUAGAAUUAUAAACUAUAUUUAAAUAAUUAAAUAUUGACAUAAUUGUAUUAUUUUUAAUUUUUAAUUUUUAAUUAAUGCUUUUAACACAUUUGUAUUAUUUUAUUUUAAAAUGUACUAAUGGGGAUAUCAAUUGACUUUAAACAUCCAACAAAACUUUUUUUUCCAAUGUGUAGAGUAAUAAAGUAAAAGAUUCGAGUAAGAGCAAACUAGUCAAUAGUGACCUAAUGAAGAUGAUAAGCUCACUCACUUACCAAUAAUGAAAAGAAAAGGAAAACAAGCAGAGAAUUAUUAUCAUUCAGGACUAUCUAUUCAUAAGUCCACACUAUACAAAAUAAAACUUGGUCCUGAUGAGAAGAAAUCAUAAAAUUUACUAGAGAUAUUUCUAAGAAAGAAGUCAACAAGAGUAAGAACUAACAAAGAAUUUCAAAACUAACACGGUCAGAGAGAUGCAUUGGGCCGAAAUAAUUAACACAAGUAGGUGGUAACAUCCUUUUCUGGCAGGAGGUCAAUGGUGGCAGCAUCCUUCUAUAAUAUAGCCGAGCAAAUGCAUCACUGCAAACAUUCAAAUACAAGAUUAGCAAAGAACAAAAAAAGCAAAUAAUUAAAAAAUAAAGAUAACAAAAAUUUAAGAGAAAAUACAUAUAUACAUUGAGAGUGUGUGAUAAAGCCUAAAACGUCGUUAUAUUUCGUCAAAGCUGACAACUACUCCAAUAUCCUUUGCCUCAAUGACACUGCCAAUAUUAAAUCCUUCAAUCCACUUCAAGUCAAAACCAUCAGAGCCCAAUGAUUGCAGCCUAGCAAUCUAAAUUCAACAAACAUGCCAAGUUCAUUGUCAAAAUAUAGCAGCAUCCAGUAGCAAAACUUAAGAUGCGAAGAUCAAUGCUAAUGCCACAAAAUUUGAAGGUACUGCUGCCAUUUCAGUCCAUAAUAUAAUGAAUACAGAUACAUUUAAAUGAACCCUGAAUAAACAAUACCAGUACCUUACUGAUGUAGACAAAUAAAUUAUGGUCAAGAGGUAACAAGUUCAUUUAGUUCAAUGUUCACAGCAUAAUACAGUCAACAUCCGUUGUAUAGAAAUUUAGGCACCUACAGAUCAUUCCAUAUUUUCGCAAAGGAAUAAUGCUCAUUUCAAAUGAUAUUUCUGUCUUUACACCAGCAUCACCCACCAAGAUUAGGUUGGGUAUUUCUCUAGAUUAGUAUGAAUUGCUCACAAGGAUAAACAAUCAAGAACUCGUUUCAUGAAGUAGGACUAGAACAUAAACGUGCAUCAUCAUAACAUAAAGGAAGCUUGGCAUUUUAUACUAUUUAAAGAUUUUAAAUAAUCCCAUUAAAAUAUAAUUAUAAUUGGAAAAAUAGAAAAAUAAAAAAAGACACAAUAAGUAACCUGAGACUUCAAUUUGAUUAUAAAAGUACGUAGACCAGUCACAAUAAAGCUAAACUUCAUACACAGAGAGGAUCACCACAACAGUAUUUUAUAAAUCAUGCUUUACAAUUAUUAGGUAUAUUGAAUAGAAAUAAGCAUUUCUUGAACAUGAAUCACAGAAAGAAGCUCUUAUUAUGACAAGUAUAUACCUUCUCCUCUAAAAUAAAGU
rnacentral:lncRNA from 1 species